rnacentral:rRNA from 1 species
GACGAACCGUGCAAACGUUGUUCGGAAUUACUGGGCGUAAAGCGUGCGCAGGCGGUUCUCCAAGUCCGUUGUGAAAGCCCCGGGCUCAACCUGGGAAUGGCAGUGGAAACUAGGGGACUUGAAUCUGGCAGAGGGGGGUGGAAUUCCACGUGUAGCAGUGAAAUGCGUAGAGAUGUGGAGGAACACCGAUGGCGAAGGCAGCCCCCUGGGCUGAGAUUGACGCUCAGGCACGAAAGCGUGGGGAGCAAACAGG